rnacentral:rRNA from 1 species
CCUACGGGGGGCAGCAGUGAGGAAUAUUGGUCAAUGGUCGAGAGCCUGAACCAGCCAAGUCGCGUGAGGGAUGACGGCCCUAUGGGUUGUAAACUUCUUUUGUCGGGGGACAAAACGCGUCACGUGUCCCGUGCUGCGUGUACCCCACGAAUAAGCAUCGGCUAACUCCGUGCCAGCAGCCGCGGUAAUACGGAGGAUGCGAGCGUUAUCCGGAUUUAUUGGGUUUAAAGGGUGCGUAGGCGGCAUGUUAAGUUAGCGGUAAAAUCGGGGGGCUCAACCUCGGCGUGCCGUUGAAACUGGCAGGCUUGAGUGCGCGCGACGUAUGCGGAAUGCGUGGUGUAGCGGUGAAAUGCAUAGAUAUCACGUAGAACUCCGAUUGCGAAGGCAGCGUACCGGAGCGAGACUGACGCUGAGGCACGAAAGCGUGGGUAUCGAACAGGAUUAGAUACCCCUGUAGUC